AGUGAUAUGAUAUGAAUAUUAUAGAGAAAGAGUGCUCAUAACCCCUAUGGGUUAUGUCAAAAUGGAAUUCAAACUAGGGAAAUUUGCUCUAAUCAAGAAGAUAAAUUGUCACCAAAGAAACAAGCAAGACUUAAAAACAUUCAAGAAGGAAAACAAAGAAUGGACCGGAUAUCACACAUUAUAUGGAUUAAGUGUUGAAGAGAACAUGAAUUGUUGAGUAUUUCGAGCCUGAUGAUCUUGCAUUACAGAAUUGGUAAUUCAGAUCUUGAAAAUUAAUAGGAUAAAAUCAAUGCAAGAAAAUUGAGUGUGUGUUCAUGGAAUAGUUAUCUGUCAUAUGAUCGUAGGAACUACAUAGUCAUUAACUUCAAAUA